CGGGAUGUAGUGAAACGGCAUCAUGCUGGUUUUGGGUACCAGUGGUGGAGGUUCAAUUCCUCCCAUCCCGA
rnacentral:tRNA from 2 species